CCAGACUCCUACGGGAGGCAGCAGUGAGGAAUUUACCGCAAUGGGCGAAAGCCUGACGCAGCAACGCCGCUGAGUGAUGAAGGCUUUCGGGUCGUAAAGCUCUGUCAAGUGGGAAGAACCUAUAUAAUGUUAAUAUCAUUAUAUACUGACGGUACCACUAAAGGAAG
rnacentral:rRNA from 1 species